rnacentral:rRNA from 1 species
ACCAAAUAGAUACCCGGGUAGUCCACGCCCUAAACCGAUGCGAACUGGAUGUUGGGUACAUUACGGUACUCAGUGUCGAAAGCUAAACGCGUUAAGUUCGCCGCCUGGGGAGUACGGUCGCAAGACUGAAACUACAAAGGAAUUGACGGGGGCCCGGCACAAGCGGUGGAGUAUGUGGUUUAAUUCGAUGCAACGCGAAGAACCUUACCUGGCCUUGACAUCUGUCGAAUCCCGCAGAGAUGCGGGAGUGCCGCAAGGGACGACAAGACAGGUGCUGCAUGGCUGUCGUCAGCUCGUGUCGUGAGAUGUUGGGUUAAGUCCCGCAACGAGCGCAACCCUUGUCCCUAGUUGCCAGCACGUAAUGGCGGGAACUCUAGGGAGACUGCCGGUGAC